rnacentral:rRNA from 1 species
UCCAGACUCCUACGGGAGGCAGCAGUGGGGGAUAUUGCACAAUGGGGGAAACCCUGAUGCAGCGACGCCGCGUGUGGGAAGACGGUCCUCUGGAUUGUAAACCACUGUCCCCAGGGACGAAAAUGACGGUACCUGGGGAGGAAGCUCCGGCUAACUACGUGCCAGCAGCCGCGGUAAUACGGAGGAUCCGAGCGUUAUCCGGAUUUAUUGGGUUUAAAGGGAGCGUAGAUGGGUUGUUAAGUCAGUUGUGAAAUCCUGCGGCUUAACCGCAGAACUGCAUUUGAAACUGUUGAUCUUGAGUACUGGAGAGGCAGACGGAAUUCCUAGUGUAGCGGUGAAAUGCGUAGAUAUUAGGAGGAACACCAGUGGCGAAGGCGGUCUGCUGGACAGCAACUGACGGUGAGGCGCGAAAGCGUGGGGAGCAAACAGGAUUAGAUACCCGGGUAAC